rnacentral:lncRNA from 1 species
GGGUAAUUAUUUGAAUGCAUCGACCUGGAGUGAAUAUUUAGAGGCACGUUCAUUCUAUCCUUUUUUCAAUGCUAGCGGUCAUGGGAAUAGUGGCUGUUGACUCUUCCAUUAGGAUAACGCCUAAAGAAAGACGUGGGGCCAGUGGGCAGAUGCCAUGUUGCCAUAUUUUGAUUCUCGAAGCGUUGUUGGGAUUUAUUCUUAACGAUGGGAAGAUAACAUAAUUUAUUAGUUGGUAGACAAUUGUAUCCACUCCAGCUUUCGAUUGGCGGUUGAUGUAGGCUUUGGUGUUUAUAAAUAAAGACCAACGGAUGGAGAAACCCAAUCUUUCAUCUUCUUCUUUCGCAGAAAUUCCUUCCUUCUGCCGUGAUGGCAUCACCCUCACACUCCCUUUUGCAUCCUCUUUUGCCAUUGGUGCAGGCCAGAGUAAAGGAGAGGUGGGCCUUUAUAAGAGAGGCAUG